rnacentral:rRNA from 1 species
UUAAGCGACUAAGCGUACACGGUGGAUGCCCUGGCAGUCAGAGGCGAUGAAGGACGUGCUAAUCUGCGAUAAGCGUCGGUGAGGUGAUAUGAACCGUUAUAACCGGCGAUUUCCGAAUGGGGAAACCCAGUGUGUUUCGACACACUAUCAUUAACUGAAUCCAUAGGUUAAUGAGGCGAACCGGGGGAACUGAAACAUCUAAGUACCCCGAGGAAAAGAAAUCAACCGAGAUUCCCCCAGUAGCGGCGAGCGAACGGGGAGGAGCCCAGAGCCUGAAUCAGUGUGUGUGUUAGUGGAAGCGUCUGGAAAGGCGCGCGAUACAGGGUGACAGCCCCGUACACAAAAAUGCACAUAUUGUGAGCUCGAUGAGUAGGGCGGGACACGUGGUAUCCUGUCUGAAUAUGGGGGACCAUCCUCCAAGGCUAAAUACUCCUGACUGACCGAUAGUGAACCAGUACCGUGAGGGAAAGGCGAAAAGAACCCCGGCGAGGGGAGUGAAAAAGAACCUGAAACCGUGUACGUACAAGCAGUGGGAGCCUCUUAAUGGGGUGACUGCGUACCUUUUGUAUAAUGGGUCAGCGACUUAUAUUCUGUAGCAAGGUUAACCGAAUAGGGGAGCCGAAGGGAAACCGAGUCUUAACUGGGCGUUAAGUUGCAGGGUAUAGACCCGAAACCCGGUGAUCUAGCCAUGGGCAGGUUGAAGGUUGGGUAACACUAACUGGAGGACCGAACCGACUAAUGUUGAAAAAUUAGCGGAUGACUUGUGGCUGGGGGUGAAAGGCCAAUCAAACCGGGAGAUAGCUGGUUCUCCCCGAAAGCUAUUUAGGUAGCGCCUCGUGAAUUCAUCUCCGGGGGUAGAGCACUGUUUCGGCAAGGGGGUCAUCCCGACUUACCAACCCGAUGCAAACUGCGAAUACCGGAGAAUGUUAUCACGGGAGACACACGGCGGGUGCUAACGUCCGUCGUGAAGAGGGAAACAACCCAGACCGCCAGCUAAGGUCCCAAAGUCAUGGUUAAGUGGGAAACGAUGUGGGAAGGCCCAGACAGCCGGGGAUGUUGGCUUAGAAGCAGCCAUCAUUUAAAGAAAGCGUAAUAGCUCACUGGUCGAGUCGGCCUGCGCGGAAGAUGUAACGGGGCUAAACCAUGCACCGAAGCUGCGGCAGCGACGCUUAUGCGUUGUUGGGUAGGGGAGCGUUCUGUAAGCCUGUGAAGGUGUGCUGUGAGGCAUGCUGGAGGUAUCAGAAGUGCGAAUGCUGACAUAAGUAACGAUAAAGCGGGUGAAAAGCCCGCUCGCCGGAAGACCAAGGGUUCCUGUCCAACGUUAAUCGGGGCAGGGUGAGUCGACCCCUAAGGCGAGGCCGAAAGGCGUAGUCGAUGGGAAACAGGUUAAUAUUCCUGUACUUGGUGUUACUGCGAAGGGGGGACGGAGAAGGCUAUGUUGGCCGGGCGACGGUUGUCCCGGUUUAAGCGUGUAGGCUGGUUUUCCAGGCAAAUCCGGAAAACCAAGGCUGAGGCGUGAUGACGAGGCACUACGGUGCUGAAGCAACAAAUGCCCUGCUUCCAGGAAAAGCCUCUAAGCAUCAGGUAACAUCAAAUCGUACCCCAAACCGACACAGGUGGUCAGGUAGAGAAUACCAAGGCGCUUGAGAGAACUCGGGUGAAGGAACUAGGCAAAAUGGUGCCGUAACUUCGGGAGAAGGCACGCUGAUAUGUAGGUGAAGCGACUUGCUCGUGGAGCUGAAAUCAGUCGAAGAUACCAGCUGGCUGCAACUGUUUAUUAAAAACACAGCACUGUGCAAACACGAAAGUGGACGUAUACGGUGUGACGCCUGCCCGGUGCCGGAAGGUUAAUUGAUGGGGUUAGCGGUAACGCGAAGCUCUUGAUCGAAGCCCCGGUAAACGGCGGCCGUAACUAUAACGGUCCUAAGGUAGCGAAAUUCCUUGUCGGGUAAGUUCCGACCUGCACGAAUGGCGUAAUGAUGGCCAGGCUGUCUCCACCCGAGACUCAGUGAAAUUGAACUCGCUGUGAAGAUGCAGUGUACCCGCGGCAAGACGGAAAGACCCCGUGAACCUUUACUAUAGCUUGACACUGAACAUUGAGCCUUGAUGUGUAGGAUAGGUGGGAGGCUUUGAAGUGUGGACGCCAGUCUGCAUGGAGCCGACCUUGAAAUACCACCCUUUAAUGUUUGAUGUUCUAACGUUGGCCCGUAAUCCGGGUUGCGGACAGUGUCUGGUGGGUAGUUUGACUGGGGCGGUCUCCUCCUAAAGAGUAACGGAGGAGCACGAAGGUUGGCUAAUCCUGGUCGGACAUCAGGAGGUUAGUGCAAUGGCAUAAGCCAGCUUGACUGCGAGCGUGACGGCGCGAGCAGGUGCGAAAGCAGGUCAUAGUGAUCCGGUGGUUCUGAAUGGAAGGGCCAUCGCUCAACGGAUAAAAGGUACUCCGGGGAUAACAGGCUGAUACCGCCCAAGAGUUCAUAUCGACGGCGGUGUUUGGCACCUCGAUGUCGGCUCAUCACAUCCUGGGGCUGAAGUAGGUCCCAAGGGUAUGGCUGUUCGCCAUUUAAAGUGGUACGCGAGCUGGGUUUAGAACGUCGUGAGACAGUUCGGUCCCUAUCUGCCGUGGGCGCUGGAGAACUGAGGGGGGCUGCUCCUAGUACGAGAGGACCGGAGUGGACGCAUCACUGGUGUUCGGGUUGUCAUGCCAAUGGCACUGCCCGGUAGCUAAAUGCGGAAGAGAUAAGUGCUGAAAGCAUCUAAGCACGAAACUUGCCCCGAGAUGAGUUCUCCCUGAGACUUAGAGUCUCCUGAAGGAACGUUGAAGACGACGACGUUGAUAGGCCGGGUGUGUAAGCGCAGCGAUGCGUUGAGCUAACCGGUACUAAUGAACCGUGAGGCUUAACCU